GAACUGAAACAUCUAAGUACCCCGAGGAAAAGAAAUCAACCGAGAUUCCCCCAGUAGCGGCGAGCGAACGGGGAGCAGCCCAGAGCCUGAAUCAGUGUGUGUGUUAGUGGAAGCGUCUGGAAAGGCGUGCGAUACAGGGUGACAGCCCCGUACACAAAAAUGCACAUACUGUGAGCUCGAUGAGUAGGGCGGGACACGUGGUAUCCUGUCUGAAUAUGGGGGGACCAUCCUCCAAGGCUAAAUACUCCUGACUGACCGAUAGUGAACCAGUACCGUGAGGGAAAGGCGA
rnacentral:rRNA from 1 species